UUCAUUUCAUUCUGGCUACUUCAGAAUUCAUUUCCUCAAAGAAAAUAAAAAGUUACUUCGUAGUCACAGGGCAUUAAGACACUAUACAAAAAAGAAAAGAAAACACAUGGCACUGAGGCAUUUUUGCUAUUGUGGAGAGCAAUACUGGUCACUGCUGUUGGAAUUGAUCUACGGUUAUAACAAACUGAGACAAAUAAGGGGAGGAUUUGCAUCCCCAGUACAUGCCCUGAUCGGGGGCAUUGACCCAACUUUUGGUUUUGGUCCCUGUCCCCUUCGCACCACUUACAAAAUGAGGAGGUCGUACCCCUUGGGGUGAAACACACGUACGAAACACACGUACGGGUUAGCACCCAGUUACUCCUAACAGCCGAUCUUGAAAGGGUGCUUAAGGGGAUCAGAAGACCACCUCCACCGCCGGCCACCUCCAGGUCCGUGCCGGCGGCAUCCUUCGUGUCUGCUACAUCACCUGCUGAUGCCCUUCCUCCCGACGAUCUUCUCACUGCUGGAGAUGCUAAGGUGGAGCCAGGGGCUAUCCUGUUAAUGGAUCAAAAUAAUCACGGUUAGUAACCACUAUUCUGCUUGAUGGGUGUUCUAAUCAAGAGAUCCAGAUCCUAGUUAUCUUAACUCUAAAGUAUUAUUGUUAACAUUGGUAUCUUGAGCCAGUUUGAUCUCUGUUUAAGAACUCCAAUUAGACUCGGUUUAUGUUAUUUACUAAUCAUGGUCUAAUUCCUUACGAAUUUGAGUAAUGUUCAUGCAUAAAUCGCUUCCGCUUACAGAAUAAUGAUGAUGCCAUCUGGGUUAAGUGCUAAUUGCCCUGACUAAUGUUUGCUAAUUAUGAAAUAGCCGAAAUUAAAUUUUCGCCUAAUAUAUUAGCACUGAUUGUGGCCUCGGUUCAGAAAAGGAUUCAAUUUUUUUUUAAGAAAAGAUCCCGAGAAAAAAAAAGCAGUUUUUUCCCCAAAUCCCGAGCACUAGAAGCAAAGAAUAAAUCCUCAACGUGUUUGGGCUGGGGGUGCUUACCCGCUCCAGAUUGAAGAUGUUGCCGUGCCGCACACACAUCAUGGACGCCUACGAGCAUGGCCACCACGCCAUGCGCGUCAACGUCAGUACCUCAUGCUGCAGCAGCAUCGUUGAAGGCGUGCCAUCGCCAUUCGCAGCGGCGGACGAGCCGCAGGUUUACGACGCCUAAUGGAUGACGCCGAGUGCCUCGCGUCACCGCCGGCGGGCACUUAUGGCCGACCUGGCACCACUGCUCUCUCCUCCGGCAUCCCGCAAUAAAUGUCGUGUAGCUGCACGGGUGGCCACGCUCGACGGAGCAGCGCGCGGGAUCCCUCCGUUGCACGCUGCUCCGGCGAGCGGAGCCACCGAACCGCCAUGGACACCGGGCUCUCGCGCCUUGCUUUGUGCCGCCGCCAGUGGCGUUUCUGGUCGGUCGCGAGCGGAGAAAGCGAGGG
rnacentral:lncRNA from 1 species